rnacentral:tRNA from 1 species
GUUCCUGUAGUUGAAUUUUGACAACGGUGGUUUUUCAGGCCAUGGGUCUUGGUUAGAGUCCAAGCAGGAAUU